rnacentral:lncRNA from 1 species
UGUUAAGUAGAUAUAUAUAUGUUUAUAUUAUACUCAGUUAUUCACUUAUAGCAUACUUUAUUGUUCUUUUCUAUUCUUACCUCUAGUAGACCUAGUGGGAAGGUCGUGGUUGUCGCUGGUCAUACCCACUGGGAGCUGCUAUUUAGUAGUUCUCACGACCUCUUGUGGUUUAUUUUUCAGAGAUAGCUGCACCUUUCAUUGAUCGAGGUAAGGAAAUCGCACAAUAGAUAGCAUCUCCUACCUGUAUGCUUAUGCAUGAGGACCACCAGAUAGAUUGCUACUCC